rnacentral:rRNA from 1 species
GACUUUAAGUCUCCUGAAGGAACGUUGAAGACGACGACGUUGAUAGGCCGGGUGUGUAAGCGCAGCGAUGCGUUGAGCUAACCGGUACUAAUGAACCGUGAGGCUUAACCUUACAACGCCGAAG